rnacentral:rRNA from 1 species
AUUGAACGCUGGCGGCAGGCCUAACACAUGCAAGUCGAACGAGUGGCGGACGGGUGAGUAAUGUCUGGGAAACUGCCUGAUGGAGGGGGAUAACUACUGGAAACGGUAGCUAAUACCACAUACCAUCGGAUGUGCCCAGAUGGGAUUAGCUAGUAGGUGGGGUAAAGGCUCACCUAUGCCACGAGCCCUAGCUGGUCUGAGAGGCUGACCAGCCACACUGGACCUGAGCCACGGUCCAGACUCCUACGGUAGGCAGCAGGGGGGAAUAUUGCACAAGGGGCGCAAGCCUGAUGCAGCCAUGCCGCGUGUAUGAAGAAGGCCUUCGGGUUGUAAAGUACUUUCAGCGGGGAGGCGUUACCCGCAGAAGAAGCACCGGCUAACUCCGUGCCAGCAGCCGCGGUAAUUC